ACUGGAAGUCCAAGAUCAAGGAUUGGCAUGGCCGUGCUCGCUCCCGCUCCUCUCAUCUCUGAAUUCUUUCCAUGGCAAGAAUCCUGAACCUGAAAUGGGGUAGUGCCUGGCAGUGUUGCCAGCUGGGCACAGGUUACACAUUCUGGUGAACCAGCAAGGAGAUUGCUAUAGGAGCUUCCAGGAGUCUGUUUUCACUGAUUUCAAGUAAGACAUCUGGAGGAAUGCCAACUGGUGAGAAGGUGUUGCAAGGGUACUACUCAGCUGCAGGAUACAGGAUUCUGAGCCUCAGUGAGGGAGCACUCUUUGUCAUCUCAAAGAGUCCCAGCUAUAUUCUCAGGGCUGCCUGAUGAAACUAAGAAACAAUUUAGAGCCUUCCCGUGAAUGGCAGAAUAUUGCAGAAUCUGUAUAACUCGAUUUGGAGAAGUUGCACAGCCUCUAUAUGAUGCCAUUGGAAGACUAGAUACCCCCUUGGAGUGGGGAGCAAAGCAAGCCUCUGCAUUAACUGCCCUCAAGAGUGCUCUUACCAUCCAGCCUGCCCUGGGCCUAGCAAACUUAGCAGUUGAGUCAGUGGAAUCUCCAGUUGGAUUCAUCUGUCCAUGGUCUAUAGGAGGGCUUGAACUACAGACCAUCCUGAACAAAAAGAAUCCUGCUGUCAACCACCAGACGGAUUAAAAUUCCUACUAAAGAAGCAGAGCUAAGUACAAUGAGCUCCUUCUCUCUCCUUUGUGUGCCGCUAUACCUUGCACCUUUCAUCUUAUCCGAACACCUCUUAAAAAGCCUCUUAAAUUAAUCCACCGCAUGAACUCGAGGCCUCCCCCAGACCUACGUAGUGUCCCUAGCAGCAGUGAUGCGUCGGAACAGGCGAGCCUUGGAUGCACUCACUGCAGCACAAGGGGGAACUUGCCUCUUCUUAAAAGACUAAUGCUGCUUUUAUGUCCACCACUCAGGUGAAAUUCAGGAGAACAUGAGGGACCUUUUGGAGCAAUCCCAACCAAUUAAAUACAAUACUGGAAGCAACUGGAAUCCUUUCCCACAUCUGCCUAAUCUAACUACUGGGAUCCUUCCUUUUUCUGGGUCCUUUAAUUACUUUUCUUCUCAUUCCUAUGUUUGGCCCAUGCAUGUGCAACCUACUUGUCAUUAAACUCAUGCUCAUCCAUUCUGGACCAGGACCAGCCCACCCCCACCCUUAGUAGAAUCAAGAAAGAGUUUUUCACUCUGGCAAGUAGGGUCUACCCCCUUAAAACAG